rfam:Triticum aestivum genome assembly, contig: Triticum_aestivum_CS42_TGACv1_scaffold_306548_4AS
UAUCUACUCCCUCCGUUCGGAAUUACUUGUCUCGGAAAUGGAUGUAUCUAGAACUAAAAUACGUCUAGAUACAUCCAUUUCUGCGACAAGUAAUUCCGAACGGAGGGAGUACUCU